rnacentral:rRNA from 1 species
UACGUAGGGUGCAAGCGUUAAUUGGAAUUAUUGGGCGUAAAGAGCUCGUAGGCGGUUUGUCGCGUCUGCCGUGAAAGUCCGGGGCUCAACUCCGGAUCUGCGGUGGGUACGGGCAGACUAGAGUGAUGUAGGGGAGACUGGAAUUCCUGGUGUAGCGGUGAAAUGCGCAGAUAUCAGGAGGAACACCGAUGGCGAAGGCAGGUCUCUGGGCAUUAACUGACGCUGAGGAGCGAAAGCAUGGGGAGCGAACAGG